rnacentral:other from 1 species
UCACGGUUAUAAAUCAACAUAUUGAUUUAUAAGCAUGGAAAUCCCCUGAGUGAAACAACGAAUUGCUGUGUGUAGUCUUUGCCCAUCUCCCACGAUGGGCUUUUUU